rnacentral:rRNA from 1 species
UACGGGGGGGGCAAGCGUUGUUCGGAAUUACUGGGCGUAAAGGGUUCGUAGGUGGCCGACUAAGUCAGACGUGAAAUCCCUCAGCUUAACUGGGGAACUGCGUCUGAUACUGGUUGGCUUGAGUGCAGGAGAGGAACGCGGAAUUCCAGGUGUAGCGGUGAAAUGCGUAGAUAUCUGGAGGAACACCGGUGGCGAAGGCGGCGUUCUGGACUGCAACUGACACUGAGGAACGAAAGCCAGGGGAGCAAACGGG